rnacentral:rRNA from 1 species
AGUGAACGCUGGCGGUAGGCCUAACACAUGCAAGUCGAACGGCAGCACAGUAAGAGCUUGCUCUUACGGGUGGCGAGUGGCGGACGGGUGAGGAAUAUAUCGGAAUCUACUUUUUCGUGGGGGAUAACGUAGGGAAACUUACGCUAAUACCGCAUACGACCUACGGGUGAAAGCAGGGGAUCUUCGGACCUUGCGCGAUUGAAUGAGCCGAUGUCGGAUUAGCUAGUUGGCGGGGUAAAGGCCCACCAAGGCGACGAUCCGUAGCUGGUCUGAGAGGAUGAUCAGCCACAUUGGAACUGAGACACGGUCCAGACUCCUACGGGAGGCAGCAGUGGGGAAUAUUGGACAAUGGGCGCAAGCCUGAUCCAGCCAUACCGCGUGUGUGAAGAAGGCCUUCGGGUUGUAAAGCCCUUUUGUUGGGAAAGAAAAGCAGCAGGUUAAUACCCCGCUGUUCUGACGGUACCCAAAGAAUAAGCACCGGCUAACUUCGUG